UGGGGAAUAUUGCACAAUGGGCGCAAGCCUGAUGCAGCCAUGCCGCGUGUGUGAAGAAGGCCUUCGGGUUGUAAAGCACUUUCAGCGGGGAGGAAGGCGAUAAGGUUAAUAACCUUGUCGAUUGACGUUACCCGCAGAAGAAGCACCGGCUAACUCCGUGCCAGCAGCCGCGGUAAUACGGAGGGUGCAAGCGUUAAUCGGAAUUACUGGGCGUAAAGCGCACGCAGGCGGUUGAUUGAGUCAGAUGUGAAAUCCCCGGGCUUAAACCGGGAAUUGCAUCUGAUACUGGUCAGCUAGAGUCUUGUAGAGGGGGGUAGAAUUCCAUGUGUAGCGGUGAAAUGCGUAGAGAUGUGGAGGAAUACCGGUGGCGAAGGCGGCCCCCUGGACAAAGACUGACGCUCAGGUGCGAAAGCGUGGGGAGCAAACAGG
rnacentral:rRNA from 1 species